rnacentral:lncRNA from 1 species
GUGCUGACUAUAAGAAUGACAAUAGUAUUGCGGGUUUGUUUGUUUGGUUUUUUUUUGGGGGGAUGGGGGAUAAGUUAGAGCGAGGUUACAGUGAAAGUUUUAAGCUUGGAAUAGUUUCCCGUAAGAUUUAAAAGUUGUAUUUUAAAAGAAAAAUGUAUCUUAUAGCUAUUAAGAACCACUUUCUGUAUCUGUAAGGUUUUUUCAUCAUAAUUUUUUUUGUCUGAACGGUUAUCAGGUAUUUUUUU